rnacentral:rRNA from 1 species
UACGAAGGGGGCUAGCGUUGCUCGGAAUCACUGGGCGUAAAGGGUGCGUAGGCGGGUCUUUUAAGUCAGGGGUGAAGUCCUGGAGCUCAACUCCAGAACUGCCUUUGAUACUGAGGAUCUUGAGUUCGGGAGAGGUGAGUGGAACUGCGAGUGUAGAGGUGAAAUUCGUAGAUAUUCGCAAGAACACCAGUGGCGAAGGCGGCUCACUGGCCCGAGUACUGACGCUGAGGCACGAAAGCGUGGGGAGCAAACAGG